UCAUACAGUCUAUGGUUUGAAACCAUGGAUGUAUAGAAAUGGGAGCAGCAACCAACAAUGAAGAUAAUUUCCCAAAAAGUAACACAGGGUGAUAGAAGAAAGGAUAAUCUUCGUUCCUGGGAACUGCUGGUGGAGGGACUGCAGGUCCUGCUUCAUGUCUGCGACGAGCUCCACACCUUUGAUUUUGCCCAGGUUGUUGCUGCCGCAGACUAUCAUCAGGAUGUCCAGGACGGUUCUUCCCCUCAACGACUGGUGUAGGAAGGGGAGCAGGUUGCCCCACCUGAGGCCACCCCAGCCAAACCACUGGACAGCCGCAUCCAGGCCGAGGUUGGAGCCCAUAGUUUGCCUGGCUCUCUCCUCCCCACGUCGGACAUAGCUGUCCCCGAUUAUCCAGACAGUGUCCCCUGUCAAUAACAAAAGGAAAUUUACAGCUUUUUUGGCCUCCAUAUGAGGUAUUCAUAAACAUUUUAAUUAAAAAAUGUUCAAAAUUUGGACAGUAGAAGUAGGCUAUGUUGGGUUCUCUUAUGCUUAAAACUCAAUUUGAAUGAUUGAUGCUGACUUACGUGGCUUUUGUGUGCUCUGGUUCUGGCAUCCAUGCUCCUCUGUUGCCAUUUUUGACUUAAGUUAACACUGAAAAUCCAUAGUAUGUUAUUUGUUAUGUGUCUUCAUUAUGUGAAACAGCAAGCCUAUAUCAUUUUCACUUUUGGCCGGUUAACAUUAUUUUAUUUGACACUGAUAUAAGUCAUAAGAUGUAAGUAUCUGUUCAGCUAUUCUUUUUCCCAACAGUUAGAAUCCACAUGAAAAUAUGUAAUAAAUCCAGAUAAUAAAUAUUGAUCAUAAUCCAAGUUAUUGUUACUACAAAUAAAUUGAUUUAAAACGAAAAA